AACCGGGAAUGAUGUAAUUUCUGUUUUAAAAAGGUGAGUUGGGCUGUUGGAUGGGGAGCCAGCUGAUGCAGGGGAGUAGCAGGCAUAGAGCCAGUAGAAGGCCCUCCAUCUGACGUCACCUGCCUCACUAGCCUGUGCUGCUGAGACCCUGGCAUGCCUUACGGUCACCCCCGUCCACAUUUACACUGCGCCUCAAUCCAUCUCUCCUGGUUUAGAGAUGGCAGAGGCACCCGUCCCUCUUUCCCAGGUUGCUAUUAACACAGGGCGCGAGCGCCCAGAACGACUCCUUCCCACGCUCCUUCAUUCUCUCUGCAGACUGUCUUCCCACCACCUUGUUCCGAGGCUCUGGGAAGAGUUACGUGAGACCUCCAGGAACACCACAUGACAUCGGAGGCAGAGAUUGGAGGGGCCAGCUAACAGCCAGGGAGCGCUGAAGAUUGACAUCACAGGCUGGAAGAGGCAGGAAGGUUCUGCCUUAGAGCCUGGCCCUGCAGCACCUUGGUCUCAGACUUCCAGUCUCCAGAAGUGGAACACGAUACAUUCCUGUUGUUUUCAGCC